rnacentral:rRNA from 1 species
GAUGAACGCUAGCUACAGUCUUAACACAUGCAAGUCGAGGGGUAACAAGAGAAAAGCUUGCUUUUCUUGUUGACGACCGGCGCACGGGUGAGUAACGCGUAUCCAACCUGCCUAUAACUAGGGAAUAACCUUGCGAAAGUAAGACUAAUACCCUAUGAUUUCCUUUGAUGACAUCAGAUUAGGAAUAAAGAUUUAUCGGUUAUAGAUGGGGAUGCGUCUGAUUAGCUUGUUGGCGGGGUAACGGCCCACCAAGGCAACGAUCAGUAGGGGUUCGGAGAGGAAGGUCCCCCACAUUGGAGCUGAGAAACGGUCCAAACUCCUACGGGAGGCAGCAGUGAGGAAUAUUGGUCAAUGGGCGGAAGCCUGAACCAGCCAAGUAGCGUGCAGGAUGACGGCCCUAUGGGUUGUAAACUGCUUUUAUACAGGAGUAAAGUUAGCCACGUGUGGUUAUUUGUAGGUACUGUAUGAAUAAGGACCGGCUAAUUCCGUGCCAGCCGCCGCAGUAA